GCGGCAGACGGGUGAGUAACGCGUGGGAAUCUACCUUUUGCUACGGAAUAACUCAGGGAAACUUGUGCUAAUACCGUAUGUGUCCUUCGGGAGAAAGAUUUAUCGGCAAAGGAUGAGCCCGCGUUGGAUUAGCUAGUUGGUGGGGUAAAGGCCCACCAAGGCGACGAUCCAUAGCUGGUCUGAGAGGAUGAUCAGCCACACUGGGACUGAGACACGGCCCAGACUCCUACGGGAGGCAGCAGUGGGGAAUAUUGGACAAUGGGCGCAAGCCUGAUCCAGCCAUGCCGCGUGAGUGAUGAAGGCCCUAGGGUUGUAAAGCUCUUUCACCGGUGAAGAUAAUGACGGUAACCGGAGAAGAAGCCCCGGCUAACUUCGUGCCAGCAGCCGCGGUAAUACGAAGGGGGCUAGCGUUGUUCGGAUUUACUGGGCGUAAAGCGCACGUAGGCGGACUUUUAAGUCAGGGGUGAAAUCCCAGAGCUCAACUCUGGAACUGCCUUUGAUACUGGAAGUCUUGAGUAUGGUAGAGGUGAGUGGAAUUCCGAGUGUAGAGGUGAAAUUCGUAGAUAUUCGGAGGAACACCAGUGGCGAAGGCGGCUCACUGGACCAUUACUGACGCUGAGG
rnacentral:rRNA from 2 species